rnacentral:rRNA from 1 species
CGGGGGGAGCAAGCGUUGUUCGGAUUUACUGGGCGUAAAGGGCGCGUAGGCGGCCGCCGCAAGUCGACUGUGAAAUCUCCGGGCUUAACCCGGAAAGGUCAGCCGAUACUGCGGGGCUAGAGUGCAGAAGGGGCAACUGGAAUUCUCGGUGUAGCGGUGAAAUGCGUAGAUAUCGAGAGGAACACCUGCGGCGAAGGCGGGUUGCUGGGCUGACACUGACGCUGAGGCGCGAAAGCUAGGGGAGCGAACGGGAUUAGAUACCCCGGUAGUCCUAGCCUUAAACGAUGAAUGCUUGGUGUCUGGGGUUUUAUAGUCCCCGGGUGCCGUCGCUAACGCUUUAAGCAUUCCGCCUGGGGAGUACGGUCGCAGGACUG